rnacentral:rRNA from 1 species
CCUACGGGUGGCAGCAGUAGGGAAUAUUGCUCAAUGGGGGAAACCCUGAAGCAGCAACGCCGCGUGGAGGAUGAAGGUUUUCGGAUCGUAAACUCCUUUUGUUAGAGAAGAUAAUGACGGUAUCUAACGAAAAAGCAUCGGCUAACUCCGUGCCAGCAGCCGCGGUAAUACGGAGGAUGCGAGCGUUAUCCGGAUUUAUUGGGUUUAAAGGGUGCGUAGGCGGGAUGUUAAGUCAGCGGUAAAAGCCCGGGGCUCAACCCCGGCGAGCUGUUGAAACUGGCUGUCUUGAGUUGUCGAGGGGUAUGCGGAAUGCGCAGUGUAGCGGUGAAAUGCGUAGAUAUUGGGCAGAACACCGGUGGCGAAGGCAGCAUGCCGGCG